UACGUAGGGGGCUAGCGUUGUCCGGAAUCGAUUGGCGUAAAGCGCGUGUAGGCGGUCCGGUAAGUCCGCUGUGAAAGUCGAGGGCUCAAACCCUCGAAUGCCGGUGGAUACUGUCGGGCUAGAGUACGGAAGAGGCGAGUGGAAUUCCGUGGUGUAGCGGUGAAAUGCGCAGAUAUCAGGAAGAACACCCGUGGCGGAAGGCGGCUCUCUGGGACGGUACUGACGCUGAGACGCGAAAGCGUGGGGAGCGAACAGG
rnacentral:rRNA from 1 species